GAGAAAAUUUGUGGAUUUCAAGUAAUCAAGCUAUCAAAUGUGGUGAAUCCUCUGAAAAAAAGCAAAGAAAUUGCACCCGAGGAUCAAUAGUCGGAGUACUCCAAAAUUCAAACUCCUGAUACAGUUCAGGACAGUCGGUAGAUAGCUCACUUUGUUGAGGGCU